rnacentral:rRNA from 1 species
ACGCGAAGAACCUUACCUGGUCUUGACAUCCACGGAAGUUUUCAGAGAUGAGAAUGUGCCUUCGGGAACCGUGAGACAGGUGCUGCAUGGCUGUCGUCAGCUCGUGUUGUGAAAUGUUGGGUUAAGUCCCGCAACGAGCGCAACCCUUAUCCUUUGUUGCCAGCGGUCCGGCCGGGAACUCAAAGGAGACUGCCAGUGAUAAACUGGAGGAAGGUGGGGAUGACGUCAAGUCAUCAUGGCCCUUACGACCAGGGCUACACACGUGCUACAAUGGCGCAUACAAAGAGAAGCGACCUCGCGAGAGCAAGCGGACCUCAUAAAGUGCGUCGUAGUCCGGAUUGGAGUCUGCAACUCGACUCCAUGAAGUCGGAAUCGCUAGUAAUC